rnacentral:rRNA from 1 species
AGCAGCCGCGGUAAUUCCAGCUCCAAUAGCGUAUAUUAAAGUUGUUGCAGUUAAAAAGCUCGUAGUUGAACUUCGGGGUCUACCCAUUGGUCAGGCUUAAUUGUCUGCACUGGUGAGAUGGAUCUCUACCUUCUGAGGAACUUUCAUGCCAUUUAUUUGGUGUGAUUGGAAUCAGGACUGUUACUUUGAAAAAUUAGAGUGUUUAAAGCAGACUAUCGUCUGAAUACAUUAGCAUGGAAUAAUGAAAUAGGACGGACUGAUUCUAUUCGUGGUUUCUAGGAUCACCGUAAUGAUUAAUAGGGAUAGUUGGGGGCAUUAGUAUUCAAUUGUCAGAGGUGAAAUUCUUGGAUUUAUUGAAGACUAACUACUGCGAAAGCAUUUGCCAAGGAUGUUUUCAUUAAUCAAGAACGAAGUUAGGGGAUCGAAGACGAUCAGAUACCGUCGUAGUCUUAACCAUAAACUAUGCCGACUAGGGAUCGGACGAAGUUAAUUUUCAUAAUGACGCGUUCGGCACCUUACG